rnacentral:rRNA from 1 species
AUGCCCCUGGACUUCACCACGCACUUCGUCGCGGUUCCGACGGAGUUGAAGCUCAGGAACAACACCGGCUGCUCCUAGAAGGUGACGGCGAAGCUAAUGAACGGCAGGGUGACCCUGGAUCAGGGUUGGGCCACCUACGCAACCGUUCAUCAAAUCAAGAUCAGUUACAUGGUGACGUUCAAGCUCCUUACUCCCGACACCCUCAAGGUCAUCAUCUUUGACGACGAUGGCAUUGAGGUCAUCAACAAGUGCGGGAAGCACGACGAAACCUUCGCCACCAAGGACUAG